rnacentral:lncRNA from 1 species
AGCAGACAAUUCGAGUCAAGGUUUAUUUUCUCUUACUGUUCUCAAUGGAAGCUGGGCCACAUACAUAGAUUCUGAUCCACCUCAGUAUUACUACACUUCAGAAAAUCCCAAUAGUCCUUAUUGGAGUUUUGAUGGUCAUACCCUUACUGCUUUACAAUAUCCUCCUACAUCGAUAGCUCAAUACAUACAGCUUGGGCAUGAUGGACAUUUACGCGUAUACCAAUUGGACAACCUUGAACAGAAUUUGGUUUCUGGUCAGAAGCUGACAGCAAGCGUUUCAGCAGACAAUUCGAGUCAAGGUUUAUUUUCUCUUACUGUUCUCAAUGGAAGCUGGGCCACAUACAUAGAUUCUGAUCCACCUCAGUAUUACUACACUUCAGAAAAUCCCAAUAGUCCUUAUUGGAGUUUUGAUGGUCAUACCCUUACUGCUUUACAAUAUCCUCCUACAUCGAUAGCUCAAUACAUACAGCUUGGGCAUGAUGGACAUUUACGCGUAUACCAAUUGGAC